ACACAAGAAGAAGACAACUGGGGGGCAAAGGCGUGGGCAUGGGGCACCACCGUCAGUCGGCAGUCACAUUAAGCACCACACAUUGUGAAAUGAAAGUUCUCUGUGUGGUGUCAACGUCAGCGUGUUCCACUGCUCAAGAAUACUGGGGGAAACUGAGAAAGAACUCGGUUUGUGUUUCAAUUUGAUUGAUGUUCUCUUGACCGGCAGCAGAGGAGAGCACAGUUCAGACGAAACAUUUGUUGUUGUUGGCGUUUGGGUGAAAACUUACGAUUGCCACCACUCGCCGACGUGUGGUAACGUUUUGUGGCCGUUGCCAAAGAGUGACUAACACACAACAGCGGAGCAGCAAAACACCAGAAACACCAGCGCCACCGACACAGAAAAGGGGGUGGAGGCAGGAAAGGCAGCAGCAGGCAAAGAGGAAGUGGUUUUUCCUGCCGUACCUGAAAGAUGAAAAUCCCAUAUAAAAUGCAAGUGUGGAACUUGUUGUACAUCCUCGAAAUAUCCACAGAGAGAGAGAGAGAGAGAAAAAAAGAGGGACAGUGCGUUGUUGAUGUUGAUGAAUUCUAAGAAGAUUAAACAAUGAUCGAAAAAACAGCUAAGUGUUUGAUUAAUGAGAACCAUCUUACAAAAACACACACACACACCAACACAGAACAC